rnacentral:lncRNA from 1 species
CAUAUUUUGAUUUGUUUAACACUUUUUUGGUUACUACAUGAUUCCAUAUGUGUUAUUUCAUAAUUUGUAUGUCUUCACUAUUAUUAUUUUACAAUAUAGAAAAUAGUCAAAUAAAGAAAAAACCCUGGAAUGAGUAGGUGUGUCCAAACUUUUGACUGGUGUUGUACAGCGAGAUAAGAUAACAUACCAUCCCAUGAGGUGUUGAGGGAAUGAUAAAUUACCUAUAGAUUAGAUAUAAUCUUUUCUAGGCAGUUAGCGAUAACAGGAAAUACACAAGCCGUAGGCUACACUAUAGUUCAAGGUGGCUACAUCGGAAUGUUGGCUUGCACAGAAAAAAAACAGUACGUUUCUAUUAUGGUUGAGAUUUAAUGAAUAUAAAUAUAAACUAUGCACCUUAUGACUUUCAUUAACACACAGGCGUCACGCAGAUGUUAGUAAGGCAUUGGUAUGACGACAUGUUAGUUACACGUUCAAUGGUAGGUGACAGCCACACGGUGGUACUGUUGCCUAGGUUAAUUAACACGCAUUUUAAGGCCAAGUCUAAAUCAAGUCUCAAAUGCCUUUUGGCAAUGGCUUUCUGCCUGAAGAGACUCCCUUGUUCAUUUUCCAAUACUUGUAUGAAAAAAGCACUUCAGGCACUAUUUCAAUCAAAAGACAUUUCCUUUUAAAAUGUAGAUAGUUUACAUUAAUAAAAGUAAUUGUACCAGAUAUGAAAAAAAAGCAAACAUAACAUUUUAAAGUGCAUGUUGCAAUGCAUUGUACCUACCAAUCAGACUUCUUCAAUUCAGCUUUAUCUUCAUGUGGUAUGAGGACAUCAUGAUCAAGCCAGAACAGGCAGAAAGAUGGGUCCAGCUGUGCAGCCAUUAUGUAUACAUUGUCACCAAAUGGAGGUUUUGUUGCCUGGUAAUCCAAGUGCUCCAUUCUGACAUUCACAAACACCCCCUGGAAUCAGCGUUUGAGUGACUGCUGCAAUGCUUUUACUAGACUGACUAGGUGACGACUUGUGCUCAGUAUACUUUGCAGAUGAUAGUUGAGUGACAGUACACAAGGAAAGGCAGCACUGAGAGUCAGCACAUUCUCCCCCUGAGUAAGGUUGGUGGCCUGGACAAAAGCGUCCAAUAGCUGGCUCCAUUCCCUUGGUGAUAAGCAGAGCUCCUUGUGUCCUUGGGCCUCAACUAGAGUAUUGAGGCUUUGUUGAUUCAGAUUGGUGACUGCUUUAACAUGCCGGAGGAUAGAAUUCCAUCUGGUAGACACAGCAGCAGGGACACUACUAUUGACUCCGAACUCAGCUUCAAAUGCUUCUUUCAGACCACAGGACAAAGAAGAUCGUACAUUUUUCCUGAUCAAAGAGAGGUUUUGAAAGCGUUCUUUGACCAGGGAUUGACCUGGAGAGGGUCGCCUCUGCUGGCUGAGGCAGCCAACAGAACUGGACUGUCGGAGAGUGUAGAGCUCAUAGAGCUCCACAAACAGGUGGCAGAUAUUUUUACGCAGGAUACUUUGGGCUGCACCUUUCUCCAUUAUGCAGUGGAGGUGAGCUGCAAGGAGAUUGACAAGUAAAUCAUAGACAACGAACAUCAUGCAACCGGUUUCCACCGCCUAUUACUGAGGUCAACUCUCUACUAUUAAAGGUCUGUCCUCAAAUAAUAAAAUUAAAAUAGACCUAAUUUAUAUGAAUUACUCAGUUCCUGGAUAAAGUAUGUCAACUGGGUCAAACCUGGUGGAGGCCGGGGCUUGCCUCAUGAAGACUGACCUUCAGGUAAAUUAAAUUGAAUCAGGCUGAUGGUUAUCAUAAUUACCUAGCUCUAGUGUCAGGAAUCCCACUUCCUGAGUCUGUUUUCUGCCUGAGCUGACUGUUUUUUGUUUUGGAGUCUGUUUCCUGAGGUUCCUGAAUGCACCCUGUCUGGUUGCCAGGCGACGAAGCUAGGCGGGAGAUCUCUUGAUUACCCGCACCUGCAUCUCAUCAGCCAUCUGCACAUCUGGUCCUGAUCAUCACCUCUUCACUUCAUAAGCUCUGACCUGACAUCCAUUCCCUGCCGGAUCGUUAGCAAUGAACAUCAUCCUCCUGGAACAUUCAACUCCCUUGCCUGGCUGUCGGUGGUUUCAGUGACAUCAUUGGAUCUGCCUAUUCACUCUCAUCAACUCACCUCCGCUGCCACUCCGUCUCCUGGAUUAUUCUAUUUUCACCUCGAGACUGGUGAGACGCUGAAGCGGCGUGCAAAGAAGGCAAAUGACCAGGAGCUGGCUGAGUACUUGGAGAACCGCCAGUACUACCAGAUGAUCCAACGAGAGGACCAGGAGACUGCUGUAUGAUGAUCCCGCUAUUUACUGCAACCGCACCACACUCUGUCUCUCUCUCUGUUUGCCAUACCUAACAAUAGAAAGCCCUGUACUGGAUUCGAGGGAGGAGGGAGGUGUCUACCCUCUAACAGACCAGGCUGGCUACACCAUAGAAAUAGAAUGACUAUAGAAUGACUAUUACUAUGGGUUACACUACUAGUAUGGGUCAAAGUGUACAGGUGAGCCAGUGGAGGCAGGUCUUCAUUUCUUCCUCUUGCUAGUGAUGCUUCAGUUUGACUAGAGUGUUGAGUGCUAUGUGUCAAGAGUGCAUGUAUGUUAACCGCUUUUCUUCUAUUAUGAAUGGG